ACAAUAUAACGACGACUACGAUGAAUAUUAGCAAUGUAAAAUUGAGUAUAGAUUAAAUAUAGAUUAUAUAUAGAUAUGUGUUUGUUUAUUUUGAUCUCGCAACGAAAAAACAUUUAGUCUUUAGUUAAUAAUGACAGUAAAAUCUGACAAUAAAAAUGGCUGCUGCUCUUUAAAUCCAAAAUGGUUCUGCACAUUUGAAGGACUUUUUAAAUUGCUAGAAUUCUUUGCAGUGUUGUUGUCAUGGGUGAUAUGUAGAAGUAUCUCUAAUGAAGUAAAAGAUUUACAUGUCACUUCAAGAUUUGUCUAUUUUCUUUUGGUUGGUAUUAUUUGCUGGAUCUUUAUUGGUGUGAUUAUUAUCCUAUAUUUUAGUGGUUGUUUUGAAUAUCAUGUUAAUAAAAAGAUAGAAAGAUUGUAU
rnacentral:lncRNA from 1 species